CCAUUUUCAACUGCCUGAACUUGCAGCCAUACCACAUCACCUUUUACAAUGAUAAGCCCACUUAUAUGAGAUCUUGGACUACUGAGGAAACUGAGACAAAAAGACUGAAAGAAAGCAGGUACUGUGCCACGACUGUUAAAAGCUAAAUGAGAACAAGACAACCUGGAUAAUUAAGAGCCUGACUUGCCAACCUAGCAUGGCAUCUUUGAGAAGAUCAGAGGAACCAGGUGCCUCUCUGCACUGCCUGCUUCUACAGAAUAGUCUGGGUGGCAAUGAAGUUUCCAGAAAUU